rnacentral:misc_RNA from 1 species
CAAAGGAAAGAGAAGCAAACAGGAUGUAAACUCGUGGAUUUUUGAUUUAUAUUGGUGGCUUAAGUCCUAAAGGAAAGGCAUGCUAAAUUGCUAAUAAUACGCGAAAAACAAGCUUUCAACACGAAGUUAGCCAUUCAUAAAGAAAUGUCCAUAAAACACAAGUAGUUGAAAUGGAGAUGUUUAACUAAGAGAUGAGAACGG